UUUUCUAAAUAAAAAAAAAAAUUCAAACACCUUAAUGUAACAGUUCAAAAGGGGUAGUCCCAUAAGAGCCCAUGUUAAAGUAGUCUACACAGUUACACACCCGGCCAGAGUUGUCAAUUCAGAAUAUUCCAGUUUUCGCCCCAUUUGCGCCCUCUCAUCUACGCGUACCAGUUAUCCUAUACCAUGCCCAUGCCACAUAUCCUCGGGAUUCUCGGGGAUGAGAGCGACUCGUCUAGAACAUUAACCAAGAUUACCAACUGCCUCAUAACGGAUUUUGGAAGAUGCACUGACCCUGUGCCGUCUCUUUCUAUGGGCGCUGAAGAAUCCCUCUGGUGGCCAGAUUUUAUCUUCAGUUGAUGGGCGUAGGUAGGCCCUUUAGCACCAACCUUCGUUGUCGCUUGAUGGAGUCUUAGCGCAGAGAUGUGCACAAGCAAAUUUUGUUCAAGGAAUUUUCGAUUAAUCAAGUAAAUUUUUGCUCGAGUAAAUAAAUAAUUUUUUUUUCUUACUUGGGUUUGUUUGAACAAAAGUCAAACAAUUUCAAACAAUUUUUCCAUUGUUUUUUUGGUUUUGUUCAAACAAUAAAAAAAAAAACUCAAAAGUUUCCAAGUUUCCAAGGAAAUGAUGACUAGCGCAACAUGUUUCUCAGUGACAGUAACCAGUCAAGCAAAGUUCGACACCAACAGAAAACUCAAUGCGGACAGCAAAUACGACAGCGCCAUCAUUCAUCUAGCAAAAAAAAUCAAAAUAUUGGCCUUGUACGCCAUCGUCUUGGAUGCGAAACCUGCUACAAAUGGAACCCGAGAAGAGCUUCUGAAGGCUGAAAUGCAAAACUUCCUCGCCAUUCCAAGAUUAUCUGCCGAUGAAAUGGACGAGCUAGAUAUCUUGUCUUGGUGAAAGGGGCGUCAAUACGAUUUUCCGCUUCUUGCAAUAUACGCCAGACAAAUAUUAGGGAUACUUGCUACCUCGGCAUCGUCUGAAAGAGUCUUUAGUACCGGAGGAAAUGUUGUCACUCAACAACGCCAGCGUUUGGAUCAACAAAAUGUGGACAAAUUAAUCUUUCUCAGUGCAAAUUCUGCCGCCAAAAAAAAGUAAACACCUGUGAAUUCUAAUCAAAAAUCAAUGUUAACUGUGAUUACUUUUACUAUUAUUCUAAGUCUUUGACAUCCAGUCAAUAAGGAAAUCAAAUGUUUUCGAGCCUGUAACGUUUAAAAAAGAAAGUCAAACCUUUUGUUUAAUUGUUUCUUGGAUCUCUGUUGUUAUCCAAGAAAAUGUAACCAUUUUUUUUAUUGGAGCGUUGUCUGCGUUGUCGAAAUUUUUUUAAAGGGUUUUUGUUCAAACAAUAAAUUUUGCUCAAACAAACUGUAUUGUUCAAACAAUUUUAUUUGUUUAUGAACAAUUUUGGACGAGAAAAUUGUUUGGCAAAUUGUUCAAAUAAUUCUCAAUUAAUCGAGCAAACAAAAAAAAAUUGGCAAUUGUUUUUGUUUGUUUGAGCAAGAAAAUCUUUGCUCGCGCACAUCUCUGGCUUAGCGUCGUUGGUGAAUUUGGAGGUUUUGGGCUUUUGGCUACAGAGUCAUGAGGUUUUUAUUUGUUUGUUUCUUUGUGUUAGCCUCAGGUUUGUUAUGAAGGUAACGAACAAGUAGCCUUUGGAUCUCGUACUGUUGGUUGCUGUGGAUUUCGAGGUUGAGAGCUUGAGACCCAGUAGCUCAAGAGUGGAGCAUUUCAGCAGGACAUGCAUUGUGGUUUCAUUCUCCUCUUCACAGUUUCUGCACGUUGGGUGGAUAUGGUUAUUGAAACGGGCCAGGUUUGCUUUGAGCCUGUUGUGGCCUGUUCUUAGCCUGAAAAGUACCCUGGAGAUGUAUCUGGAUUUGUGUGCGUGCCAUUUUAGUGGGCCAGUUCUGUUUCUCCUCUGUAUGCCCUGAAGAUGGAGCUUUGUUCUGUGGCAGAUAGUUGGUUGUUGAUGAGUCUGCCGAUGUCUUGUCUUGAGCUUUCUUCUGAUGCUAGCUUAUCUGCCUUUUCGUUUCCUGCUGUUCCAAUAUGGCUUGGCACCCAGUAGAGAUUGACUUUGGUUUUCAAUGGUUUGGAGGACUGAUCUGGAGUCUGUGAUUAUGUUUUUGCAGUUUAGUCAAACGGGCAAAUGGCUUCACAUGUCAUUGAUCAAAAUUUCUUCCUUGGUGAAAUUCCUUUUUACACAAUUGAUUUUGUCACAGGAGAAUUAACAUAAUGGUUAGUUGACGAUUUUUCUGGGAAGUAUUUCAAUUCUGCCACAGCUGAGUUUUUCGUGUGUGAGACUAACACCUAUUCCGAUAACUCCAUUAUUUAUGGUCAGCCACGUUUAGAAUAACGAUCAUAACAAAAUGCCAAGGAAUUAUUUGAGAAAAUCUAUCAAUCCAAAACCAUCUGAAGAAUCACUCCGAUAUGCUGUCACUGAUGUUCUUAGUGGACGUUGCACAAUUAGAAAAGCUGCUGAAAUUUACAAGACAAAAGUAAAGUCCAGGGGGUAGAAGAAGAAGCUGUAACCUGUUUAACUAUCCUUUCUAAACUUUUUGUAAAAAAGAAAAAAAAAAAAACGAGCACGCUCGCGUGAUGCCCGACUCUGAUUCAUUUCCUUUUGUCAAUAAAGAAUUGUCAAUACAGAAUCAUUCAAAUGAA
rnacentral:lncRNA from 1 species